rnacentral:rRNA from 1 species
GCGAAGCUCUUGAUCGAAGCCCCAGUAAACGGCGGCCGUAACUAUAACGGUCCUAAGGUAGCGAAAUUCCUUGUCGGGUAAGUUCCGACCUGCACGAAUGGCAUAAUGAUGGCGGCGCUGUCUCCAGCAGAGGCUCAGUGAAAUCGAAAUCGCUGUGAAGAUGCAGUGUACCCGCGGCUAGACGGAAAGACCCCGUGAACCUUUACUGCAGCUUGACACUGAACUUUGACCUUACUUGUGUAGGAUAGGUGGGAGGCUUUGAAGUUGGAACGCUAGUUCCAAUGGAGCCGUCCUUGAAAUACCACCCUGGUAAUGUUGAGGUUCUAACUCUGUCCCGUUAUCCGGGACGAGGACCGUGUCUGGUGGGUAGUUUGACUGGGGCGGUCUCCUCCUAAAGAGUAACGGAGGAGUACGAAGGUGCGCUCAGCGUGGUCGGAAAUCACGCGUAGAGUAUAAAGGCAAAAGCGCGCUUAACUGCGAGACCCACAAGUCGAGCAGGUACGAAAGUAGGUCUUAGUGAUCCGGUGGUUCUGUAUGGAAGGGCCAUCGCUCAACGGAUAAAAGGUACUCUGGGGAUAACAGGCUGAUACCGCCCAAGAGUUCAUAUCGACGGCGGUGUUUGGCACCUCGAUGUCGGCUCAUCUCAUCCUGGGGCUGAAGCAGGUCCCAAGGGUAUGGCUGUUCGCCAUUUAAAGAGGUACGCGAGCUGGGUUUAGAACGUCGUGAGACAGUUCGGUCCCUAUCUACCGUGGGCGCUGGAAAUUUGAGAGGAUCUGCUCCUAGUACGAGAGGACCAGAGUGGACGAACCUCUGGUGUACCGGUUGUGACGCCAGUCGCAUCGCCGGGUAGCUAUGUUCGGAAGGGAUAACCGCUGAAAGCAUCUAAGCGGGAAGCCUACCUCAAGAUAAGAUUUCCCUAGGAAUUUAUUCCUCUAAAGAGCCGUUCGAGACUAGGACGUUGAUAGGUUGGAUGUGGAAGCAUAGUGAUAUGUGAAGCUGACCAAUACUAAUUGCUCGUGAGGCUUGACUAU